CUUCACUGUGCAGGAGAGACAGGAAAAGGAAGAGUGAAAUCGUUGAGAGCACGGGUUUUGGUUUUGUGGUGACAGAUUCAAGGCAAUGAACACACAUGAUGUUUUGCUCCUCAGGGCCAGGUUGUCUCCAGUGUGUAGUGUAUACACAUUUAAAUGAUGGUUUGUAACUGCAGAGUUGUUAUCUUGACUUUAGAAUAAUAAGAAAGAAAAUAGAGAAAAUGCAAGGGAUACUCCACAGCUGUUCUUGAUUUGUCACUGUGAUACAAUCUAGUUUUUUUGUUGUUGUAUAGUUUAUUUGUUUUAUGGUUUUUGCCCUCCCUCACAAUGGUCUAAAAUUCUGAAGCUUCU
rnacentral:lncRNA from 1 species